ensembl:ncRNA asRNA:CR43474 antisense RNA:CR43474
CGCAGCGGAGGCGGCUUGCUGAAGUCCAUCUGCUGCACUGCAUCCGGAUCGCUGAGGGAUCUGCGCAGCGUGGUCACCGAUGCGCGCUUGGAGUGAAAGGAGCCGCGCAGGAAACGAGCAAAUUCGCAGGCGGCAUUCUUUCCCACACGACAAACUGCCCGUGGAGGCGUGACCUUGAAGCUGGGCAGGAGUGGAGCGUGCAUCUCGAAGGAAGAGUCCGGAGAGAGAUUGCGGCUAUUGGAGCUGCCCGACUGUGAAGUGAGAUUGGAGCUGGCCGAGCUGAUGCCGUCGUCGUGCUCCUCCUCGUCCUCGGAGCUGGUGGGUACUUCUCCGCCAGAUGCAGCCAGUGGACUACAGCCCAGUUGCUCCUCCACCCGAUCCCUGGUCACUCUGAUCAGCACUGGGGAAUCGGCGCGAUUAUCCUCCAUCUCUGGCUCACUGAGUUUUCGGUUGCCACUCCGUCUUUUGGUGGCCGAACUGAAGAACUGCAGCACGCGGGAGGCACUGCGGCAACUGCGUCGUUCCGCCUGGACACGUGCCAUGGCCAUGGGUGGUGGCAUCAGGUCCUCUGCCUCUGCGCAUUUCCUAGGCAAUGGAUUCACCAACACUUUCUCCUCCUGCACGGUCUCCGGUGCAAUUGUUAUUUGCGGUGAGGCACUGCGUCUGCCACUGGCACUUUGAUAAAACUCCUUGGCCUUGCGGCAUAUGUAUGGUGAGCUAAUCUUGGACUUGACCUUCGGUGUGCUGGCCUGUCGCUCUUCGAAGUCCUGCACAAACCGGGUCAACUGUUCGCGAUCCAGCUCCGUGAGGCAGCGAUGCCUGACAUGUUUGGGCGUGGAACCGGCCGAGGAUCCAGGAUGAAUCCGCUUGAUCUCGAAGCUGCUGUCAAAGGUGCCGGAAUCAUUCAGUUGGCUCAGCGACUGGACAAACCGUUCCACCAUGCUGGCGAUGGUUGGUUCCUGCUUGCUUGCGAUGGGUAUUCUGGAGCAAGUGCCUCGAGUGGUAUUUGUAUUGUUCAUGACGCGCACUUGCCUAAAUGGGUUCAAUUCAAUUUGAUUAUUACUUGCACUUUAAAAGCUUGUGGCAAUUAAAAACGC